GCACCCAUAGCUCAAUUGGAUAGAGUAAUGGACUUCGAAUCCAAAGGUUGCAGGUUCGAAUCCUGCUGGGUGUA
rnacentral:tRNA from 4 species